GACGAACGCUGGCGGCGUGCUUAACACAUGCAAGUCGAACGGAAAGGCCCCUUUGGGGGUACUCGAGUGGCGAACGGGUGAGUAACACGUGAGUAACCUGCCCUUGACUUCGGGAUAACUUCAGGAAACUGGGGCUAAUACCGGAUAGGAAUCCUUGCUGCAUGGUGGGGGUUGGAAAGCUUCGGCGGUUUUGGAUGGACUCGCGGCUUAUCAGCUUGUUGGUGGGGUAGUGGCUUACCAAGGCUUUGACGGGUAGCCGGCCUGAGAGGCGACCGGCCACAUUGGGACUGAGAUACGGCCCAGACUCCUACGGGAGGCAGCAGUGGGGAAUAUUGCACAAUGGGCGGAAGCCUGAUGCAGCAACGCCGCGUGCGGGAUGACGGCCUUCGGGUUGUAAACCGCUUUCAGCAGGGGCGAAGCUUGUGGUGACGGUACCUGCAGAAGAAGCACCGGCUAACUACGUG
rnacentral:rRNA from 1 species